GAAACACAAAGUCAUCAAGUGGGGGGUUCUUGCUUUUGCAUCCAUAAAAGGUUCACCGGUUACAUUCCUACUGUGUUAUAUGGAGAGAAAUACCUGUUGGUAAUAGGUAUGUUACUCAUUUGUUCAGUAGAUAGUAACCUAUAUUACCAAUAGGUAAUAGGUUACCUAAUAACAUACUUAUUAUUAGGUAUGUUGUCAAAUGUUGUAAAAUCCAGUAGGAUUUUACAACAUUUGAUUUCUAUAGUAAUUAUAGCAACCCAUCUCAGCAGAUAACAAAGGGUGAAGCUGAAAGGGAUCAGCCAGGGUUGUCCUUUCUGCCUCAUUUGUUCAGUAGAUAGUAAAUUCAAGCUUUUUUUUUUUGGUCUGAUUAUAUUUAUUUAUAUUUAUUUCAAAAACAAAUCUUAACUUUUACAAGUAAGCUGGAGAUGUUUUCUUUCUUUAGUAUGUCCAGAUAAUUUAGUACCAAUUUAUUUAUCUUACAAAAAUGCAUAAUGUCAUGUUUUAAUAUGCAACAACUACUUACUCUUUAAAUCAAAUUCAAACAUGUCAACCACAGAGGUCUGGUCUGUUUAGCAGUAGAUAACACAUCAAGUUAUGGCUUAUAUAACUUGAAGUUUUCUGAGCUUUUAGAGUUGCAUUCAACACAUUUCUGCCAACACUCAAUAAACUCUGAUUCCACAAACUUGAGAAGAUGCAGUGAGGUGGUUUGACUUUUAACAAAUGUUGUCUUCCUAUGUUUUUACACAUAGGAUAAAGAUAUCAUGAAUGUUUAACUGUGUUUUAAAGAUUCUCUAUUUACGCUACAAUAAUCCACUUCACAUCUGACAAAUAUGUUCUUGCUGUGGUUCCACUGCUCAACACAAGAGGACGCUCACUCCCAGUUGAUCAGUUAUGCUAACAGGCAGCGAGAAAGAUUGUCACAAACAGAAAACUCCUCCGUUCCAGUAGGAUUUUAACCAGGAUUCUUCACUGUUUAAUCGGAAUUCAAAUCUAUUUUGCAGAAAUUUAAUUUUAGUGUACAGUCAAUAUAGGUUA